AACGAACGCUGGCGGCGCGCCUAAUACAUGCAAGUCGAGCGAGAAGACGUAGCAAUACGUUUGUAAAGCGGCGAACGGGUGAGGAAUGCAUGGGGUAACCUACCCUCGAGUGGGGAAUAACUAGCCGAAAGGUUAGCUAAUACCGCGUACGCUCCUUGGACUUCGGUUCAGGGAGGAAAGCGAUACCGUGGGUAUCGCGCUCUUGGAUGGGCUCAUGUCCUAUCAGCUUGNGGUGAGGUAACGGCUCACCAAGGCUUCGACGGGUAGCUGGUCUGAGAGGACGAUCAGCCACACUGGCACUGCGACACGGGCCAGACUCCUACGGGAGGCAGCAGUAAGGAAUAUUGCGCAAUGGGCGAAAGCCUGACGCAGCGACGCCGCGUGGGGGAUGAAGGUCUUCGGAUUGUAAACCCCUUUCGGG
rnacentral:rRNA from 1 species